rnacentral:ncRNA from 1 species
GGUGCGUUAGCUUAAUAAGGAAACCGGAAAGCCGGUACGGUCCCGCCACUGUAAGGGGAGCUUGCUUCAAUUAUGUCACUGAAUUGUAUUUGGGAAGGCGAAGUACAGCGAAGAACCUAAGUCAGGAGACUUGCCUGUUGGGA